AGGCGAUGAAGGACGUACUAGACUGCGAUAAGCUACGGGGAGCUGUCAAGAAGCUUUGAUCCGUAGAUUUCCGAAUGGGGCAACCCAAUACAUAGAGAUAUGUAUUACCUUAAAUGGAGCGAACCUAGGGAAGUGAAACAUCUCAGUACCUAGAGGAAAAGAAAUCAAACGAGAUUCUCCUAGUAGCGGCGAGCGAACGGGGAAGAGGGCAAACCGAAUGCUUGCAUUCGGGGUUGAGGACUGCAACAUCCACUUGUAUCAUUUAGUAGAACAAUCUGGAAAGUUUGGCGACACAGGGUGAUAGCCCCGUAUAUGAAAAGUGAUACAUAGGUAGCAGGAUCCAGAGUAGGUCAGGACACGUGAAAUCCGGACUGAAGCAGGGGAGACCACUCUCCAACCCUAAAUACUACUCUUUGACCGAUAGCGAACAAGUACCGUGAGGGAAAGGUGAAAAGAACCGCAGUGAGCGGAGUGAAAUAGAACCUGAAACCAUCUGCCUACAAUCAUUCGGAGCCCUAUGAUUUAUCAGGGUGACGGACUGCCUUUUGCAUAAUGAUCCUGCGAGUUGUGGUAUCUGGCGAGGUUAAGCAAACGCGAAGCCGUAGCGAAAGCGAGUCUGAAAGGGCGAUUAGUCAGAUGCUGCAGACCCGAAGCUGAGUGAUCUAUCCAUGGCCAAGUUGAAGCGAGUGUAAUAGCUCGUGGAGGACUGAACUCGUACCCAUUGAAACGGGUUGGGAUGAGCUGUGGAUAGGGGUGAAAGGCCAAACAAACUCAGUGAUAGCUGGUUCUCUCCGAAAUAUAUUUAGGUAUAGCCUCAAGUGAUAGUAAUAGGGGGUAGAGCUCUGAUUGGGCUAGGGCUGCUCACCGCGGUACCAAACCCUGUCAAACUUCGAAUACCUAUUACCGUAUCUUGGGAGUCAGGCGGUGGGUGAUAAAAUCAAUCGUCAAGAGGGGAACAACCCAGACUACCAAAUAAGGUCCCAAAGUUCUAUUCUGAGUGGAAAAAGAUGUACAGUUACUUAGACAACCAGGAGGUUGGCUUAGAAGCAGCCAUCCUUUAAAGAAAGCGUAACAGCUCACUGGUCUAGUGAUUGCGCGCUGAAAAUAUAACGGGGCUAAGAUAGACACCGAAUUUGUAGAUUACGCGGCACAAUUUAGAUUAUCUAAAGUGCUAGAAACUAGGAAGCAAAGUUAUAUUUCUUCUCUCACAAAGAGAGAAGCAAAUCUCUAGCUAAGAUAGUUUAAAUUGUGCCGCGUAGUGGUAGGAGAGCGUUCGUAUCUGCGUUGAAGGUAUAUCGGCAAGAAGUGCUGGAGCGAUGCGAAGUGAGCAUGCAGGAAUGAGUAGCGAUAAAAUAUGUGAGAAUCAUAUUCGCCGUAAGUCUAAGGUUUCCUACGCGAUGCUCGUCAUCGUAGGGUUAGUCGGGUCCUAAGCCGAGUCCGAAAGGGGUAGGCGAUGGCAAAUAGGUUAAUAUUCCUAUACCAACAUUAGUGUGCGAUGGAGGGACGCAUAGGGUUAGGUGAGCCAACUGAUGGAAUAGUUGGUCGAAGGGUGUAAGUUGGGAGAUUGGCAAAUCCGCUCCUGUAUCACAAACCUGACAGGCUCUCUGAAGUCUUCGGAUGGAAGGGAGAAUCACUGAUACCGUCGUGCCAAGAAAAGCUUCUAAGUUUAGCUAAUGUUGCCCGUACCGCAAACCGACACAGGUAGAUGAGAUGAGUAUUCUAAGGCGCGUGAAAGAACUCUGGUUAAGGAACUCUGCAAACUAGCACCGUAAGUUCGCGAUAAGGUGUGCCUACGAAAGUAGGUCUCAGCAAAGAGUCCCUCCCGACUGUUUACCAAAAACACAGCACUUUGCAAACUCGUAAGAGGAAGUAUAAGGUGUGACGCCUGCCCGGUGCUCGAAGGUUAAGAGGAUUAGUCAGUCGCAAGAUGAAGCUUUGAAUUGAAGCCCGAGUAAACGGCGGCCGUAACUAUAACGGUCCUAAGGUAGCGAAAUUCCUUGUCGGUUAAAUACCGACCUGCAUGAAUGGCGUAACGAGAUGGGAGCUGUCUCAACCAGGGAUUCAGUGAAAUUGUAGUGGAGGUGAAAAUUCCUCCUACCCGCGGCAAGACGGAAAGACCCCGUGGACCUUUACUACAGCUUGGCACUGCCGAUGGGAGCAUUAUGCGCAGGAUAGGUGGGAGGCUUUGAAAUCUUCACUCCGGUGGAGAUGGAGCCAUCCUUGAGAUACCACCCUUAAUGUUUCUGUCUGCUAACUGGCUUGAGUUAUCCUCAAGCAGGACAAUGCCUGGUGGGUAGUUUGACUGGGGCGGUCGCCUCCUAAAAAGUAACGGAGGCUUGCAAAGGUUGGCUCAUUGCGGUUGGAAAUCGCAAGUUGAGUGUAAUGGCAUAAGCCAGCCUGACUGUAAGACAAACAAGUCAAGCAGAGACGAAAGUCGGUCAUAGUGAUCCGGUGGUUCUGUGUGGAAGGGCCAUCGCUCAAAGGAUAAAAGGUACCCCGGGGAUAACAGGCUGAUCUCCCCCAAGAGCUCACAUCGACGGGGAGGUUUGGCACCUCGAUGUCGGCUCAUCGCAUCCUGGGGCUGGAGCAGGUCCCAAGGGUAUGGCUGUUCGCCAUUUAAAGCGGUACGCGAGCUGGGUUCAGAACGUCGUGAGACAGUUCGGUCCCUAUCUGCCGUGGGCGUAGGAAAGUUGAGGAGAGCUGUCCCUAGUACGAGAGGACCGGGAUGGACGUGCCACUAGUGUACCAGUUGUUCUGCCAAGAGCAUCGCUGGGUAGCUACGCACGGAUGUGAUAACCGCUGAARGCAUCUAAG
rnacentral:rRNA from 1 species